rnacentral:rRNA from 1 species
UGAAUGGCAUCACGAGGGCUUAACUGUCUCCCCUCCCCAGUCAAUGAAAUUGAUCUCCCCGUGCAGAAGCGGGGAUAAUACCAUAAGACGAGAAGACCCUAUGGAGCUUUAGACGUCAGAGCAGCCCAUGUAAAGCACCCCUUAACAAAGGAAAAAACCAAAUGAAGCCUGCCCUAAUGUCUUUGGUUGGGGCGACCGCGGGGAAAUACAAAACCCCCAUGUGGAGUAGGAAUACACAUUCCUAAACCCAAGAGCUCCCGCUCUAAUGAACAGAAAUUCUGACCAAUAAGAUCCGGCACACGCCGAUCAACGGACCGAGUUACCCUAGGGAUAACAGCGCAAUCCCCUUAAAGAGCCCUUAUCGACAAGGGGGUUUACGACCUCGAUGUUGGAUCAGGACAUCCUAAUGGUGCAGCCGCUAUUAAGGGUUCGUUUGUUCAACGAUUAAAG